rnacentral:rRNA from 1 species
CACUGGGAGAAUUUUAACUCUCAGCAAUGCCUGCCCAGUGCGAUUAAAAAUUGUAAACGGCCGCCCUAGCGUGAGGGUGCUAAGGUAGCGAAAUUCCUUGCCUUUUAAUUGUAGGCCUGCAUGAAUGGCUUGACGAGGGUUUAACUGUCUCUGGUUUGUAAAGUCUAAAUUGGAUUAAAGGUGAAGAUACCUUUAUAUAAAAGUCAGACAAGAAGACCCCGUGCAACUUUUAAAGUCGGUUUAUUGAGAAACUUAAGAUUUUUAGGUGGGGCGCCUACUGAGUAAUAUUAACCUCUGUGUAACAAAAAAACUUUCAAGUAUAGACCCGGCAUUGUCGAUAAUAGGAGAAGUUACGCCGGGGAUAACAGGCUAAUCCACUAGUAGAGAACGUAUUGGCUAGUGGGAUUGGCACCUCGAUGUUGAAUCAGGGAUGAUACCUUUAAGGCGUAGAAGCUUUGAAAGUGGGUCUGUUCGACCUUUAAUACCCU